rnacentral:misc_RNA from 1 species
GCUGACUCCUCGUGGAGCUUUCCUUCUCCCGGAAACGGUUUCAAUUCUGAUGCACGUGGCAGAGAACAAUAGGAAGUACGUUUAAUUUUGGUGUAUGUGGCAACCAAGGAUCGGUCCUUCGCGUUAAACCAUGACCUUCGUGUUAUCAUAUCACACCUAGGAAAAUUGAACUUCUCUCCACGCGUUUGGUUUUCGAGAAAGUGUCACUGCUCGGGAAAAUUUUAACUCUAUUCUUUUUCUCGAGAAAAAACCCAAACCCUUGUCCUGAUUCGCCAAAUGAAAGCUCACAGUUUCCAUCGCUCAUCGUCUUAGCGUUUAAGAUCCCUCCUCCGGCGAUCCUUCGGUGGCUGAUCUGACAGCGGAGAGAUCACUACUUCCCUUAUCUCUCUCAUUUCGCCCAGAAAAGAGAAGCAAAAGGCACCUUGGUUGCUUUUGUGUAAGGCUUAUAUGAUGGAUCUUAGAAGGCCUGUAUCUCUCCGUCUUUCCUGAUGACAUAAAGUAAAUGGACCACUAUGACUUGCAAGCACAGAGAAGGGAGAUGAAGCAUAAAGGAAGAAAUGUUGUUUGGUCUAUUGCCAUGGACAAGUGCCUUAUUGAAGCUCUUGCUAUUCAGGCUAGAAAUGGAAAUAAAAUAGACAAAUGUUUUAACGAGAAUGCAUACUCUGCUGCUUGUAUUGCUGUGAACUCUCGCUUUAAUUUAAACUUGAACAAUCAAAAAGUUGUUAAUCGUCUUAAAACCAUUAAGAAAAGGUACAAGGUAAUAAGGGAUAUGCUAAGUCAAGAUGGAUUCAGGUGGAAUCCCAGUACAAAGAUGAUUGAAUGUGACAGUGAUGAUCUUUGGAAGAGAUACAUCGCAGUAAGUCUUUAUUUAUUAAUUUAUUAUUUUGAGGCAGUUGUUUUUGUUGCUUGUUUACAAUAUUGUUUUGGUGUCUUUCAAACAUAUUUAACAGGCACAUCCUGAUGCAAAAGGCAUUCGGGGUAAACAGAUUGAGAUGUAUGAUGAACUAAAAAUUGUUUGUGGAAAUUACCAAGCUCCUAGCCGUUGGGCUAAGAUGAAGGAUGGAGGUCAUGUAACAAAGAAUUUUGAAGAAGAUUCUCCUUCAUUCCUCUCACCAAGUUCAGAAAAUGUGAGUGAGACCGAUGGUACAGAAUCAUAUACUGGGCCACCAGAUUGUCUGCCAGAUGGUAGUCAAGACCCUCCUCUGAUACAGCCUGUCAGACAACUUCCGAAACGGGCCCGUGGAUCAGAAGCUCUUCAAGAUGCAAUGUUGGCAGUGGCAUCAAGCAUUCGGCGUCUGGCUGAUGCAGUGGAGCAAAGCAAAACUGCAAUUGAUCCCUCAGAACUUUUACAGGCUGUGAUGGAAGUUGAUGGCAUAGAAGAGGCUAAACAAAUGUAUGCUUUUGAAUAUCUGAAUGCUGACCCCAUUAAAGCCAGAGCCUUUGUGACAUACAAUGCUCGUAUGAGGAAGAUUUAUUUGUUUCGACAGUUUUGGUGGUGGAAGUGACACUCUUAUGUAUAUUUUGCAAAAAUGUGAAAGGAUUGUUCCAUGGAUGCUUGCCCAUUAAACCCUAAUUGAUGUUUGGAGGUGAAUGUACAGAUAGAUGAUCUCGGGAUGAAAAUUUAGAGCUAGAAGCUGGUAUUAUAUAGACAUUGACCAGCCUCUAUGCUUGCGUCUUUUUGAAGUGAAGAUAGCAUUUUGUAAGAUCUUCCCUUCUUGCUUUAUCCUUUUAAAGAGGUCUGAUGUUGCUCUUUUUUCUCUUAAUUUUGGAUAUAACGGCAAAAGAAUCUAUCCUGUGACCACUGGAAUUGAACGUGCUAAUUGAUUGCCAUCAAAUGUGUUAAGCUAAGUUCAAUUGUUUAUUGCUUUGCAACCAUUGGUUUCAUCAGAGAUAAAGUUCCUUGAUAGUGUUGUUUGCAGACCAUCUUUGUCAAUUUCCUACGGAACUUGAAUUUUAUGGUGGACGCUUGGGACUAAGCUUACUACUGGCUAGUAAAGGUCUGGAGCUGAAUCUUGAUUAUGCAUUUUUGUUCUCAGAUCUGAUUAGCUGUAUCUACGGACAUUAAUGGUAAAAGAUGAUGGAUUACUCAAACUCUUGUAUGUUGCAUGAUGUAAUCAUUUUAUAUGCUAGUUCAUUUAUUUACUUUUUCCCUGAUUACUUCUUAAAUGUAAUUGGCACAUGGAUAUCAAGUCAAUAAAACAACAGGGAUUGCUCUU